CUUUUUUUUCCUCUUCGUCUAUACAAGGGCGCUGGUCCACCCUUUUGUGGGAGAUCAACCGCGUCCCGGCCGUCUAUUACUCGGGGGCGCCGCGUGGCGCUUGUUUGUUAUUGCCGCAGGCGCUUUUGGUCGUAGGGCAAAGGGGUCGCCAUGUACACACAAAGUGAUACACGCCCAUGGCGCCCAGAACCGAAAUGCCGAGGGCGAGUCGCCGAUGCCGGCGCCGCGGGAGGACGGCCACCGCUACCGACGCGCAUCCGAGGCCACACAGGCCCGAUAGGACCGCACAGACCGGGAGCGCGCUCACAUAGGCCAGGGCACGCUGCCGGGUAUCGAAACACGAGGGUACAUCGCCGACGUAGAAACCUGCAAUGCCUGCCGCGACGCCGACGAGGCCACCGCGCCUUACAGCGAGUCGCCCCAACGCGGCUCUGCGGUCGGCGCGCACGGAUGCCGUCUUGCUGGGUGCUUGUGAGGACGUCGAUUGCGUCGAGGUCGUUCCUGGCGACGGCGUCGAAAGGGGCAGCAGGCCCCACGGAUCGCGGCUCAUGCUGCUAUCGACUGUCUAUUUUCGGACCUCUCUUUUGUUUUUAAUACCAAGUGUCUGUGCCCAGACGGAGCCUU
rnacentral:lncRNA from 1 species